GAAGUGUACUGCCACAAUCACAAAAAGGUGUGAUACCUUUUCAUGGGCAUGUGGAGAUUUUUAGUUUUAGUUAGAUAUUGAAAGCUUUCUCAGUAACUUGUAGCAAAUUCAUAACUUGGUAAAUCAUUUCAGUUCUACUAAGGAAUAUAAAACUUAAAAUCAUUUUGUUACUCCAAUAUUGGUGGCAGUUCUACAAUCUUGAAAUUUAUGUGCGUUUCCAGCUUAUCUUGUUGAUAACACACUAUCAGU
rnacentral:misc_RNA from 1 species